GGCAUCAGCAUGGACUGAACUACUCCAUCGGCUCCUUGCUGCUCCUCGUUGACCUCCUCCCCGGCCUCCUGAACUUGUUCUCUAAGUUCCUCUUCCUCCUCCUUAACCUCUUCCUCCUCAAUCUCCUCUUCUUCCUCCUCCACAACCUCUUCCUCCUCAAUAUCCUCCUCUUCCUCAACUUCUUCCUCCUCCUCCUCCUCCUCUUCCUCCUCCUCGUCGCUGUGAAGCUGCUCGUCAAGUGAUAAACAAGCAAACUUUUCUGACAUGACUAUGUCUUGUGCAUCAAGUAGUGAUUUAGUUGUGUUCCCUCUGAAGGAAAUGGAAGGAAAUAGGGGAUGACUGGGUGCGGCUGCACAACUCCGGUGGCGAUGGUGGUAGCUCGGUUCUAAGAGCUACCAAAAUGCUCAGGUUUAGUCUGCAUCACCCCAUCCUCCAGUACGACCGCUGCCACCAUGCCCGAAGCGCUCUUCCGCACAGUACGACGAACACGGGGUGCUCAGCGAAAUGUCCCGUCCGUCUCCUCACCUGCAAUGCAUCAUGAAGAGAAUAGAAGAAUACAGAGGGAACAAGGAAGAGGAGGAAAGCAUUAGAGUUCUUUGGUGCUCAUGAACUGCUCGAUGAAAUGUCUUGAGGGGCUCAUCACAAGUAUCUAUACGAUCUCUUCUAUUGAUUCACAUGUGAUGAUUUAGUACCUUUCUCAGGAUUGCACACACAUGAGCUCUAUGCCAGGGCACUAUGCGACGCUGUGAUGAGUGAGCUGUGGCCACUGUGCUGAUCAUAGAGCAACAGAGCAGAAACUACAGGUUAAGUUGCUCGACGUCUACGCCAUGCUUAUCUUCUCAUAAGCGCCUCCCAUUUCAUCCCUAUCGGCCUCUGAGAUUACUGAAGGCUCCUGCUACAUGAAGCAUGAAGUGGGUGCUGGUCUCCAUCUGCUUCUCUCCCUGACGUGCAGGAAUUUAUGGUUGGCUUAAAAAUUAUAGCUGAAUGGGCACACCAUUAAUGUUCACUGUGUACAAAAAACUGUGGUGGUUUUUUGAAUUUUGUACAUGAUCCACCAAACAAACAAGGCUCUGGAAGGAUCUAAUAUGUGGUUUAGGAAAGGAUGGGAGUGCUUGAACCUGGAAGCAUCUCCUGCUCAUUAUGCUCUUAGGUGUUUUAUUUCCGAUGCUGUUACUAUUGAUACAACAGGGAAAGUCACAUAUUGUUUAAAAUAUUUAUUGUGCUUAAAAUACUAUACUGUGUAAUGUCCGAAAUUUAUAUUCAUGCGUUAGAUGUUUCACUUUCACAUGCACAUGCACUUCUGUUGAAUGUGUUGUUAAGUUCUCCUAUGAACUGUUUCGCUGAGUGGUUUACAUUACAUUUCUUUCACAGGUGGUGAUCAUAGCAUGAUGGCAAUCGAAUUCCACCGUGUUGGUAGCAUGCACUAUAUAUUUUCCGGUUAUACAUCACAGAAGACAGAAAAGCCAGUGCUUUAAUCUGGGUGCAACAACACAUAUUCUAACUGGUUUUGGGCUCAACUUUCUGUUAUUAUUAAUUUACUAGAAAAAAUCCCCGUGCGUUGCAACGGGUAAAAACGUUUUUUAUACUAUACAUUAUACUCCCUUGUUUUUAGACCGAAUGCUUUCUUGUUUUUGGACCGAACGUUCAUUCUUUCCCUCAUUUUCAGAUUUAGUCCUAGAGCAGUCCGCUGCUUCUAUCUGCUUGGCCUCUCUCUUCGGCUCAGCCCACAAGUGGAGCUGUAGGCCCAGCUCGAACAGUCCUUUGCUUGGCCUAUCUCCCUUCGGCUCAGCCCACAAGUGAAGCUGUAGGCCCAGCUCGAACAGUCCUGUGCCUGGCCUACCUCUCUUUGGCUCAGCCCGCAAGUGGAGCUGUAGGCCCAGCUCGAACAGUCCUGUGCCUGGCCUUCUCUUCGGCUCAGCCUGUAACAUCUCGAACAGUCUCGUGCCCGCAUGACGGAGCCGAUCCUCCCACCAAAUCCGGUAAUUGACCAGCUCGAACAGUCCUGUGCCUGCCCUACCUCUCUUUGGCUCAGCCCGCAAGUGGAGCUGUAGGCCCAGCUCGAACAGUCCUGUGCUUGGCCUACCUCUCUUCGGCUCAGCCCGUAAGUGUAGCUGUAGGCCCAUCUCGAACAGUCUCGUGCCCGUACCGUAGGGGUGAAAACGGUACGGAAACUUUCCGGAUUCCAGGCCUGUUUUUGGAAACGGAAUCAGCCGAUCGAAAUUUUUUUCGGAAUUUCUCGAAAACGGAAUCGAAAACGGAAAUAUUUUCUCGGAAACGGAAUCGAAUAUGAUAAUAGCAGUUUCCGUCGGAACUCGGAAUCGGUCGGAAAAAUUCCGGAAAAUUUGUCGGAAUUUCCGAAGUUAAAAAGGCCCAUGAAAUCAAUAGUCUAUAAUUCGUCCCCAAGUUUCCAGCCCAACCCAAAUCGCGGCAUCUACCCAAAUAGUGGCUAACCCUAUAGAGGAGAGAGACAGACACACGGCAUCGCGAGACCGCGAGCGGUGGCAGAGCAUCACGCUCCACCCACCGCCAGCGCCCCGCGCCACCCCUGGUCCGCCGUCCUCGGCUCCUCGCGACCUCGCCCCCACCAUCUUCGCUGUCUCGUACCGCCGCCAUCUCGCGGCGCUGUCCAGCCGUUUCGCGGCGCCGUCUCGCGGCGGCAGCGCCGUCCCGCCGUUUCGCCGCCGCUACCACCACUGACGACGACGCCACAGCCACACCGACGAGCCGACGACGCCUCGCCUCUGCGACUCGACAGCAGCCAGCAGCCCAGCGGCAGCAGCCAACAGCCCAGCGGCAGCAGCCAGCAGCCCAGCGACGAGCCGACGAGCCUAAACCAUUGAUUUGAUUUCUUUUGUGCUGCAGAUUUAUGAUGGAAUCAUCAAAUGCAAGUAGCUAUUUUGUGAUUGAACUAAGUACUGUACUAAUGGACUGAUGUGUGUUGCUGUUUUGUGAUGACUAAUGAUUGAUGAACUAUGUACUGAUGAUGGAGUGAUAGCUCAUAGCAGAUUAGCAGUAUAGCACUGAAUAAUAGUGUAUACUGUAUACCUUAUACCAUGGUCUUUUGCUGUAUUUUUUUUAGAAUAUUUGUUAUGCAAAUUAUAUGAAGUUAUAGAAGAAUAUAUUUUGCUGUUGAGACGAUUUCA